AGCGAACGCUGGCGGCAGGCUUAACACAUGCAAGUCGAGCGGGCAUAGCAAUAUGUCAGCGGCAGACGGGUGAGUAACGCGUGGGAACGUACCUUUUGGUUCGGAACAACACAGGGAAACUUGUGCUAAUACCGGAUAAGCCCUUACGGGGAAAGAUUUAUCGCCGAAAGAUCGGCCCGCGUCUGAUUAGCUAGUUGGUGAGGUAAUGGCUCACCAAGGCGACGAUCAGUAGCUGGUCUGAGAGGAUGAUCAGCCACAUUGGGACUGAGACACGGCCCAAACUCCUACGGGAGGGAGGAGUGGGGGAUAUUGGACAAUGGGCGCAAGCCUGAUCCAGCCAUGCCGCGUGAGUGAUGAAGGCCCUAGGGUUGUAAAGCUCUUUUGUGCGGGAAGAUAAUGACGGUACCGCAAGAAUAAGCCCCGGCUAACUUCGUG
rnacentral:rRNA from 1 species